UCCCACGCGUCGUCCUCCUCCCUUCCCUUGCGACGGAAGUGAGAGACUUGCCGUAACAAACAAAUCUUUCCUCUCUCGCUCCCUUUCUUCCUCCUCCUGCUCUCGCUCCCCGUCACGGCUCACGCUGCAAUUGCAAACCCCUACGACAAAUCCUCUGCCGCAAAGAACCCCUCGACCCCGGAGCCUCUGGAUCGAGAGGCAGAGGCCGGCUGAAUCCCGGAUCCUACGGAAAGACAGGUUCCUUCCUGCUCCUCCGAGGGAGGCGGGGCCGGGGUUUGUAUGUUCUUGGCCGCACGUGAUCCGUUCUUGAUCCCGGGCUGCUCCUUUCUUUGGUUGAACCGGUUGGUUGCGUGGGUAUAACUACGCUGCCCACAGGGUCUCUCGAGAUCUCUUCUUCCGUUGUUGCUUUGUCAUGUCGGCUGGCCAUUGGAGAUAAGGUGUUUGGUGUUUGGUGGCACAGGGCGCUGGGCAGUUACCUAGCUUGGCUAGCUUCAUUGUUUCUUCUUGGUACACAGCCAGAUUUGUUGAUCUUUUGAAAGAUAAGGAUGUUUGAUUGUUGCGGUAUCUGAAGGAUAAUCACGCUGCUUGCGACAAGCCCAUUACCGAUUGUUGUUUUCUUGUUUCAUGCUUGGUCCUGCUCGGAUGGAUGUAUGGAUCUUGUUGAUGCGUAGCCGUGAAGCAUAAACCUUUGCUAAGUGGGGAUAGAUCACAUAGGAGAUUGCUAUUGUGACUUGUGGGGAUCAGUAAUUAAAUCAUGUGGAGACCGUUCAGACAGCUAAUGCCCAAAGAGCAUUCUGGGCCUUCUGGCGGCCUCGAGGGCCGAACCAUCGAUGUUGGCAAUGUAAAGGUCCAUGUCCGGGAAGCCAUCGCUGAGGGAGGGUUCUCGUUCGUGUACCUUGCCAGGGACCUUAUGAACCCGGCAAGGCAGUAUGCGCUCAAGCAUGUCAUUGUCCAGGACAGGGAGUCCCUGGACCUGGUCCAGAAGGAGAUCACGGUGAUGAGGUCACUCAAGGGGCACCCCAAUGUGGUCACGCUCGUUGCACACGCGAUACUGGAUAUGGGCCGUGCGAGGGAGGCGCUGUUGUUGAUGGAGUUUUGCGAGAGAUCACUGGUUUCCACCUUGGAGAGUAGAGGUGCAGGGUUCUUUGACGAGGAGCAGGUUGUUCUAAUCUUCCGAGAUGUUUGUAAUGCUGUCUUUGCCAUGCACUGCCAGACACCACCUAUUGCUCACAGGGACCUAAAGGCUGAAAAUUUACUUCUUGGUGCUGACGGUGCAUGGAAAUUAUGUGAUUUUGGUAGUGUCUCAACAAACCAUAAGUGCUUUGAUAAACCAGAUGAGAGGGGCAUUGAAGAAGAUAUUAUCAGAAAGCAUACCACUCCUGCAUAUAGAGCUCCUGAGAUGUGGGACUUGUACAUGAGGCAAAUUAUUAGUGAGAAAGUAGAUAUAUGGGCUCUUGGAUGUCUCUUAUAUAGAAUCUGCUACUUAAAGUCAGCUUUUGAUGGCGAAUCAAAGCUCCAGAUACUCAAUGGGAACUAUCGUAUCCCGGAAUUACCGAAGUACAGUUCUUCCAUUACAAAUCUGAUUGAAGAGAUGCUUCAGUCAUCUCCAGAUGCCAGACCGGACAUUACACAGGUAUGGUUUCGUGUUAAUGAAUUACUUCCUCUGGAGCUGCAAAAGGAUUUGCCUGUCGGAUCCCCGUCUGGAUCAGCAUUUGAAUUAAAUAUUACUGAUGAUGAAGCACUGAGUCGGCUGCCCCAGGAGAGCUCCCCUUCACCGUCAACAGACAGCAUGAAGAAUACACCCUCCAAAGAUCCUUCCAGUUUGAGGUCACAAGGGCCUUUAAAAGUUGCAGAGAAUAAGGGUUCUGUGGGUGCAUUUUGGUCGACUCAGCAUGCACAAGAACUAGCAUUUACGGAUGACAAGGGAUCUGCUCCUAGUCAAGAGCCCAUACAUGAAGCCACAUCAAAGCAACCGCAUGCAAAGAACCAGAACACACCACGUAGUACAUACAGACAAUCUCUCUCUGCAUCUGUUGACAGUUCUCCUGGGGAUUUUGAAAUUAGGUUUUCUCCGAAUGGUUCCGAAUAUGGUCUAGAGAAAACCAAAAUCACGAAAACAGACGGUAAAACCAGUGCACAGACUGACACUUCUAACUCCUUUGUGGCUGACUUCGAUAUUGUUAAAGCAAGCUCGCCUUACAAUGCCAGUUGUUUAAAUACGCCAAGUAAAUUGAAAGAACAUCAGCUGGAGACUGAAGUAACUUUACUCAAGGAGCAAUUGAAGAUAGCAAACUUGGAGAAGGAAGAGAUUUCACUGAAGUUUGAUAAAUUAUCAGCCAUUUGCUCCUCUCAGAGGCGAGAGAUACAAGAACUUAAACAAGCCCUAGCCACAGCUUCUGCAACACUGCCAGUUAAGGAGUUCAAAGAAAACUCGAAGGGGGUAGUCUCCCCACAAACUGCAAGCCUUGACACUCCGCCAAGGGAGAAGAUUGCAGGAACCCCACCAGAGCUCCGGCAAGGCCUAUUUACAUCAAGUCCAGGGACACCGAGCCCAGAUCCGAAGCCAUGGUCAGCUUUUCCUGAAGAGCCUAAAGCUCAAGCGGCUAUGAAGAGUGCCCACCCGAGGUCGGUCCGAACCCUGAGGGCAUCAAACAGUAACAAAGUCAGCUCGCUGGGACAGUCGAAAACAAACCCUGGUGCUGACCCCUUUGCCUUUGGUCAAGAUAGCUUUAAGGCUGUACCUUCUGAGAUGUCAAAUUUGGGGAAUGCGUCCCAGUCUCCGAAUACUCUGAAGGCUGAAGUAAAGAAAGAUGCACCUUACCAACCAGCUGGAUGGACUGGGUUCUAAUGUGCUACUGUGCAUAAGGAUACCACAUGUCCAAAGAGACUAUAUUCCAAUAGAAGUACAGAAAUUUGGUCCACCCACUGUAUCAUAAUCAUAUAUAUUGUCUGUUCAGAGGAAGCAAAAAUGCAAAAUGAGUUGGUAGAUAUGGUAUUGGUGAGGUGGCAUGUUGAAGAGGCCAUCCUAGGGACGCCGGAACUGAUGUAGGCUGUGUUGUAUGCUGUUGGAGAGUUGUGAGGUGAGAUGAUCCGUCCUCCCUCCACUAAUAUACACCCUAAAAUUCAGGAGAACACCCGCUUCAAUCCUUACUUCAAGGAUUGUAUUGAAGCAAUUGAUGGAACACAUGUCAUGGCUGGAGUCCUAGCAAAAAUCUCGGCCGCCUUUAGGGGUAGAAAAGAUGGUACUACCCAAAAUGUUAUGACUGCGGUAGACUUUGAUUUAAAGUUUAUCUAUGUACUUGCUGGUUGGGAGGGGUCAGCCCAUGAUGCCCUCAUACUUGCGGAUGCCGUGCAGAGGGAUGAUGGGUUGUCACUUCCUCCGGGAAAAUUCUAUCUUGUUGAUGCCAGGUAUGCCGUGAGACCGGGUUUCCUUCCACCAUAUCGUAGGACAAGGUACCACUUGAAGGAGUAUGGUGCAGGGAAUCAUCCUGAAAAUUACAAAGAAUUGUUCAACUUGAGACACUCUUUUUUAAGGAUAACAAUUGAAAGAGCUUUUGCCGCGUAUAAGAACCGGUGGAAGUUUGUGUACAAUAAGCCAUUCCAUCCUUACAAGACCCAAGUAAAAGUAGUAAUAGUUUGUGCCAUUCUUCAUAAUUGGAUCCUUCAAUUUGGGGAAGAUGAAUAUUUCCCACCGGUGGAGACAUGGGAACCCGAACCCAUCGAUGAAGAGCACCACGACAUUGCUUACGAUAAUCAAACUUGGAAAGCAAAGAGGGAUGAAUUUGCACAAGCGAUGUGGGCGAAUAGGGGGGCAGCACUCAUUUGAUGUAUCAUGUUGUACAACUUGCUGGAACUUGCUGUAUUAUAACAAUAUGGUGCUGGAAUAACUCAUUUGUGUGCUGUAAUGUGUUACUUUAGUGCUGGAACUUGCUGUAAUAUAACAAUAUGGUGCUGGAAUUACUUGUUUA